CCCACCCAGCCCGUGGCCCCCUCCGCCCAGCCACAGAAAAGCACAGUGCCAGAGCAGUGCCGUUCCCUUGCACCUGGCCCGGUUGGAGCCUGCGCUGAGCCCCAUCCCAAUGCCCUGCCACCAUUUUGGCUCUGUGGUGGGCUCGUGGGAGCCGUGCUGGCAGCAGUCUGCCUGCUCAUGUCCAUGCUGUUGUGCGCCUGCUGCCAGAGAUAACUUCUGAGCUACCCUCUGCUCACACGGAUGAGUUUUUUUCAGAAUGUGAUUAUCACCAUCUUUGGGGUUAGCUUCCAGGCUCAUUGCUGUGCUUCUGUUGUGUUGAGUGCUUGUUAUCAGCUCAUGGUCAUGUCCAUGAGCUCCUCAGUGGCUGUUUGGGCUGUCCUCGCUGUCUGUUCUUCAGAAAGGCUGAGGGAGCUGAGAUUGUUCAGCCUAGAGAGGUGAGGGCUCAGGAGCCUCACUGUGGCCUUUAGAACUUGGAGGGGCUUAUAAAGAGGAGGCAGACUGACAUUACACGGCCCAACAGUGACAGGACAAGGGGGAAUGUCUUUAGACUAAAAGAAAGGAGGUUAGGUGUUAAUGGGAAGCUCUUCACUCAGAGUGUGGUGAGUUCCAGAGGCACUAGAGCAAGGAAGCUGUGGAGGCCCCAUCACUGGAAAUACUCAAGGCCAGGCUGCGUGGGGCUCUGGGCAGCCUGAUGUGGUAAAAACAGAAACCGGCAGCAUCUGCGAGCUGUUCCAGGUGGCGUUGUCCUGUGCCCCCUUAUGUCCCUCACGCACAGAAAAACUUGCUUUCUACACAAAAUGGAGCCUCGCUCAGAGCUUCCCCUGCAGGGACUUUUGCACUCAAGAUCUCCUGUACAGUGCAGACCCUUACCACCAACACCUGUCUGACUGCAAGCUCAUAUAUUCCAACGAGCCCAUUGCUGCAAUCCUUACACACCUGCAAGCUGGCUGUGGUGUGACUUCCCGUGACAGUUCUGUACCAGCUCACCUGCUGCCCAGACUGUAGGAGGUUCACCAGAACUGCUAGGGAGGCAGUGCCUGGGGUGCCAGAAUUGGAGGAGGUCCACCUGAAACCUGAUACAGGCUCUGGUUCUUCUCCCUUGCCCACCCUCCUAUAAUGCUGCAAUCCACGGAGGACAAAGUGGGAAAAGUUGAGAGAGGCUGAGCACUACCAGGUGUGCCAUUCCCUGGCAUGCUCUCUCCCUACAAUACCUGGGUCUGCAUGCUCACAGACAAAAUUGCCAAUCCAGAACACUAACCAGGACAAGUCCCCUGCUCAACACUCAGCUGCAAGCAAAAAUUCUGAGGUCCCCACCCACCACCCUGCUUGGCCCUGCAGGCAGAAAAAGCAGCACAAAGCUCAGUGAGAUCCAGCUGUCAGCUCUGAGGAAGUUGUUUCUCAAGACCACUAAAACCAUCUCCAUGCUAAAUCCAAGCCAGAAGAAAACUGUUGUUUUUUUUUUUAAAUUUUAAAUGGGUGAAGGCUACCCCCUAUAGAGAACUGCAGAACUCGACCCAAGGACAAAGUGAGACAUGAAAAAAAAGAGUACCGUCAGCUUCACGCCAUAUGUUUGUGUUCCUGGGAAGCCAAAUUAUGUUCCUGGCAAAAAUCGCCUUUGGUUU